UGUGACCUACGGGGGGCAGCAGUGAGGAAUAUUGGUCAAUGGUCGGGAGACUGAACCAGCCAAGCCGCGUGAGGGAGGAAGGUACAGAGUAUCGUAAACCUCUUUUGUCAGGGAACAAAGGCGGGGACGUGUCCCCGGAUGAGUGUACCUGAAGAAAAAGCAUCGGCUAACUCCGUGCCAGCAGCCGCGGUAAUACGGAGGAUGCGAGCGUUAUCCGGAUUUAUUGGGUUUAAAGGGUGCGCAGGCGGUCUGUUAAGUCAGCGGUGAAAGCCCGGGGGUCAACCCGGGCACGCCGGUGAAACUGG
rnacentral:rRNA from 1 species